AAUAGAUACCCUGGUAGUCCACGCCGUAAACGAUGAGUGCUAAGUGUUAGGGGGUUUCCGCCCCUUAGUGCUGCAGCUAACGCAUUAAGCACUCCGCCUGGGGAGUACGGUCGCAAGACUGAAACUCAAAGGAAUUGACGGGGGCCCGCACAAGCGGUGGAGCAUGUGGUUUAAUUCGAAGCAACGCGAAGAACCUUACCAGGUCUUGACAUCCCGCUGACCGUUCUAGAGAUAGAUCUUUCCCUUCGGGGACAGCGGUGACAGGUGGUGCAUGGUUGUCGUCAGCUCGUGUCGUGAGAUGUUGGGUUAAGUCCCGCAACGAGCGCAACCCUUGAUCUUAGUUGCCAGCAUUCAGUUGGGCACUCUAAGGUGACUGUCGGUGAUAAACCGGAGGAAGGUGGGGAUGACGUCAAAUCAUCAUGCCCCUUAUGACCUGGGCUACACACGUGCUACAAUGGACGGUACAGAGGGUCGCAACCCCGCGAGGGUGAGCUAAUCCCAUAAAACCGUUCUCAGUUCGGAUUGUAGGCUGC
rnacentral:rRNA from 1 species